CUCAGUCACAGACCUUAUUUCUGCACACAGGCUGAAGAAGUGUAAAGAUAUGAGCAACUGUUGAAGUUGGCCCUGCUUUGAGCAGGGGGAUGGAUUGGAUUCUUUCCAGAGGUGUCUUCCAACCAGAUUUUUUUUCUAUGAUUCUGUGGUUCUAUGCUAACAUUUGCUAUAUCUAGGUGGAAGCUGAAUUCUGUGGCUGCUAAAAUACAGUGGGCUAAGGAGUUUUGACCUUCAGGUCAGAUAUCUUGUGGGAAACCUCAUCCACCCACUCUCCUGCCAGGCUCUGGUUCCCUCUUCUUGAUGAAUAGAGAAUUUGUACAAAAUAGGUUUGGCAGUGCCUUGUACCAUAGAUCCUAUGGGCUUUUUUCUUCCUGAAAGGAGACAAAUCUGGUCUAAAUUAAAAAAUCAAGAUCUUCUUUCGGAAGUCUGUUGGAAAGGCAAAAGCAAGAACCAUUGCUCUGUAACUGAAUAACCAAACUCCACGAGCCAGUCAACUGAUCCAGGGUACAUAUUUGCAUUCAAUAAUAAGGACAUUUAUUGCACCUUGUGACCUACUGAAACAUGAACAAGGAUUUUCCUUUCCCUGUAUUUCAGUGAGUUUCCUUGCAACAUUACCCCAGACAUUUGACAUGAUGAUUUUGGAUGUUCCAGAGAAAAUUCCUACCUGUUUUGUGCCUUUCAUAUUCCCAAAUCUAGCCCUACCUGGGGUGUGCUGAAAUAUAAUUCUCUUAAACCUGCAGUCCCUGGGAGUCCAGUUCUGUGAUUUUGGAGCCACAUGACAACAAGCAGAAGUCUGUCCUCCCCUGUGAGCCUCUUGCCCCAGCCCACAGGCACUGCCAAUCCAUGGCCCUGCUGCAGCUUUCCCCAGAAGACAGGGGAUGAUGCUUGACUGUCUAAAAGGGUUCAGACAAAAUCAGGUGAGUCAUGCUGCAGAAAUGAGCCCUCCUCUCCACAAAGGGAGCUUUCCAUGACCUGAGCUUUAGCAGACAUCCAUGAGGUGGCCAUCUAAAGGCUGGUGAGAUGAGCCCUAGUCCAAGAACACAGAAAGAUUCCUCUUGGGACCUGGGAGAAA
rnacentral:lncRNA from 1 species